UACGAAGGGGACUAGCGUUGUUCGGAUUUACUGGGCGUAAAGCGCGCGUAGGCGGAUCGCUAAGUCAGGGGUGAGAUCCCAGGGCUCAACCCUGGAACUGCCUUUGAUACUGACGAUCUGGAGAUCGGGAGAGGUUGGUGGAAUUCCGAGUGUAGAGGUGAAAUUCGUAGAUAUUCGGAGGAACACCAGAAGCGAAGGCGGCCAACUGGCCCGAUACUGACGCUGAGGCGCGAAAGCGUGGGGAGCAAACAGG
rnacentral:rRNA from 1 species